rnacentral:miRNA from 2 species
GAAAUCAAGCUUGGGUGAGACCU